rnacentral:lncRNA from 1 species
GGCUAUACCCAUCUCUUGACCGUUUAGACGGCGGAAACGGCGCCGUCGCCACAAUAGCCACACGGCCAACACCACCCUUGACCACCAACUCCACAGAGUCAAGACCGUCGCUAACCACCAUCGCCACAUAGUCGUCGAUGAGGUCAGGAUUUCGCCUGAUAGCUCAACCAAGGGCGGAGGGGGCAAGGUCGCGAUGGGGGAUUGGCUAGUCGUGUAUUCUCAUUGAGAGCAGAUGGCGUGCAGGUGCCUGUAAAGGCGGCGCUAGGGAUAGAGAGGAG